rnacentral:lncRNA from 1 species
GAAGGCUGUUACACUGUGGUCUCAGAACUGCUACUCCCCAUUUUUUCCUAUAAAGAUAUUCUGCUUCUCUCCUCUCAAAGGUAAACAUGAAACCCAGUCUCACCAAUGAUAAUUAUCUCACUCAGAUGUACACAGUGACUUUUCAAGGGAUAAGCACAUAAUCCGAGUUAAGCAAAUCAACAUUUUCUAUAGAAAUAUUUAAUUUGGAAUGGAGAAAAUCACAUUUUCUGAUGUGUGCUUUGUUCUGCUUUGCCACUGAGUUUUGCGAUUGUGAAUAGUGUGCUGUGAGUUGUCACACCUCCUUCAAUGCAUGCUGAUCAUCAGAAAAUAAGCAUGACAUAUGGAAAUAAACCAAACGCAAUGUGUUGGGGAACUACCUCUCCCAAUUCAUGUUCUUUCAUUUGAAAAAGAAAAUUCGGUUAAUGUGACUCAAGGGCUCUUUUGUUCUCUUACACAGAAAAAUAGAAUGACGUCCGCUGACACAUUUGGAAAGACUAAAUUGGACUCUACUUCUUCUGGAAUGGAGCAGACUUCCUGUGACACUACACCUGUUGAGGAAGGAGAUAAUGCAUCAUUACUCCCAGGUGAGGGUGGAAGUUGAAGUUCCCCACUUGACUUGUUUGACACUCCAGAAGGGAAAGUUGCCUCCUUAUUUCUAGGCAGGGUAUAAUUUAAGCUUCCUCAUUGGACCUCUGCUGACACAAUUAUAAUAGUCUUUGUAAGAGACAGUGAGCAUCAAUAGUUCAGGAGUGUCUUUUAGGAAUAGUAAUCAAGAUUUAGUUGUAAGAUACACUGAAGAGUUAGAAUAAACCCUUGGGUGCCAUGUGGAAGAUAAGAAAAGAGGAGUCAAAGAUGGCAUCCAGAUUCAUGUUAUCUGAAUUAGAGAAUGGGGAUGUUAUGACAAAAACAUGGUUUUCAAAUGACCUUUUUUAGUAAUCUUUAAAGCUUUUAUAUGGGGAUAAUGUUUGAUGUGUUUUUGUGCACGAAAAGUUGAAUUGUGAUCCAAGAGACUGUUCAAAUACUGUACAUAUAUAUAAUUCUGCAUAUGAAUAUAUUCUGGGUACACAUAUAUUCUGCAUAUAUAUAUAAUUCUGUAUAUAUAUAUAAAAUAAAACUGUACAUAUAUAUUCUGUAUGUGUAUAAUUACCGAUAUAAUAUAUAUAUCCUGUAAAUAUAUAUAGAAUAUAUAAUACAAUAUAUAAAUAUAUAUUUUGUAGUAUAUAUCUAUAUAUAUAAUGUAGUAUAUAAUAUUAUAUGUAAACAUAACAGUAUUUUUAUUAAAUAUAUUUAUUACAUAAUGUUACAUAUUUUAUAUAUUCUGC